rnacentral:rRNA from 1 species
CAGCAGCCCGGGAAUACGAAGGGUGCAAGCGUUGUUCGGAAUUACUGGGCGUAAAGCGCGCGUAGGCGGUUACUCAAGUCAGAGGUGAAAGCCCGGGGCUCAACCCCGGAACUGCCUUUGAAACUAGGUGACUAGAAUCUUGGAGAGGUCAGUGGAAUUCCGAGUGUAGAGGUGAAAUUCGUAGAUAUUCGGAAGAACACCAGUGGCGAAGGCGACUGACUGGACAAGCAUUGACGCUGAGGUGCGAAAGCGUGGGGAGCAAACAGGAUUAGAUACCCCGGUAGUCCCUGUCUCUUAUACC